AUCCAACGCUUUCAUGGAUAGACCAUUUUCCGGUGAAAAGUGUGGAAGUCACGAUGAUGGAAUGCCGAAAAGCUGAACAGCAGAAGAUGAUCUUCUAUAGCUUAGGUUUUCAGGAGAUCUCGGUCGCAAGUGCUUUGUCAGUAUGGUAUAAUAUGGUGGAAGAAAAUUUUGUCAGUGAGAAGGUGUUCUCUUUUUGGCUCAACGGGAAUCCUAAUGCAUAAAAGGUCGGUGACUUAAUUUUUGGUGAUGUUGACCCUAACCAUUUCAAACGAAAACAAACAUACGUUCCGGUUACUAAAAAAGGUUACUAGCAGGGAGAUUUUCUCAUUGGAGGCUCAUCAUCAGGCGUUUAAGAAGGUGCCUGUUAUGCUAUUGUGGACUCGGGAACAUCUUUGCUUGCCAUUCCAACUGUAUGUUUUUCUAUAUUCUAUAUUUUUUAAAAACUUUUGCUUGGAGACAUUCGUUUAUAAUUUCUUUCGACCAAUAAUCAAUUCCAGCCUGUUGUGGCUGAAAUCAACCACAUUAUUAAAGUUGAAGGUGUUCUGAGUGUAAAAUGUAAUACAUUAUUGGUUGAUCUCUAUUUGAUCAACCUUGGUUAUAAUUUUGUUAUGGUUUUUGUUUUUUAUAAUAAAAGUUUACUCGUGCUGAAACAAGAUAAGGAUGUAGAGAUGAUUACUGUUGAAGGGCAGAACGAGUGACUUUGGAAGCUGUCACCAUUUAGUGCGUCAGAGGCGGGGAGUUUGAUUUGUUCUUGGAGGAAUUGGUCUGUAGAUGGGAAUCUACGAUUCACUUGAAGGAGAUUUGAUAAAAAUUUAAAACACAAACUCAUCCCAAAUGAGUUUGAGGUGGAAUGAAUUUUUUAAUAUAAAUAAUCCAUUUUUUAAUGAUACUUUUAUCCACAGCUUGGCUAUAAUGGUAAAAAU